GAGGAUGUCUUCUCCCCUUAAACCAGGUCUCUUGACUCGGAGUCUUCCAAGGAUUGAUUCUGGAGUGUAAGUCAGCAAUAUGAACUUGAUGCUCAUUUUGGCCUAAAGGUGGAGUCAUGAUCUGUCCCAGGCUGAAGUACAGUGGCACGAUCAUAGCUCACUGCAGCCUCAAAGGCCUGGGCUCAACGGAUCCUUCCUCCUCAGCCUCUUGAAUAGCAGAUUUUAUACACAUCUGCAAAGUCUUUGGCCCUAUCCACCCUUCCUCUUGACUCUGCACUGGCCUUAGGCACACUGCAUGACUUUCCAGGCUGGGCCAAUAAAAGCCAUGCAGCUUCCAUUUGGUUCUCUUUGGUUGCUUGUUCAUCCCUCUGGAGAUGUUUCUUAUGAGAACCCAGAAGCCAUGCUAUAAGAAGCCACAAGGAGAGGCCAUGUAUAGAAACUCCAGUCAACAGUUCCAGAUGAACCUGUCCUUCAACACUCAGAGCCAAGCUGCCAGACAUGAUCGGCAUCAACAGAGGACCGGGACGGGAUUUUACCAUGUUGCCCAGGCUGGUCUCAAAUUCCUGAGCUAAA
rnacentral:lncRNA from 1 species